GACGAACGCUGGCGGCGUGCUUAACACAUGCAAGUCGAACGCUGAAGCUCAGCUUUUGUUGGGUGGAUGAGUGGCGAACGGGUGAGUAACACGUGAGUAACCUGCCUCCUUCUUUGGGAUAACGCCCGGAAACGGGUGCUAAUACUGGAUAUUCACUGGUCUUCGCAUGGGGGUUGGUGGAAAGAGUUUUUCUGGUGGGGGAUGGGCUCGCGGCCUAUCAGCUUGUUGGUGGGGUGAUGGCCUACCAAGGCUUUGACGGGUAGCCGGCCUGAGAGGGUGACCGGUCACAUUGGGACUGAGAUACGGCCCAGACUCCUACGGGAGGCAGCAGUGGGGAAUAUUGCACAAUGGGCGCAAGCCUGAUGCAGCGACGCCGCGUGAGGGAUGGAGGCCUUCGGGUUGUGAACCUCUUUCGCUCAUGGUCAAGCCGCAACAAUGGUUGUGGUGAGGGUAGUGGGUAAAGAAGCGCCGGCUAACUACGUG
rnacentral:rRNA from 1 species